GCGAUCUAUUUGUCUGUUUGUAAGAAAGUAAGGAGAAAAUUCCUAAAACCUGAAAUUUCUUUCCAGAAAGAAGCCAAAGAGAUUAGGUUAAGAUUUAAGGAACAGGGUUAUCCAAAUAAAAUUUUUAAAAAAGCAUACCAAAAGGUCAUUAAUAUGGAUAGAUCCAUCUGCCUUCGCUCCUCCAGACCGAAACCACCAAAACAGACUAUAAGAUGUAUAGGCACCUUUGAUCAAUAUUGGGAGUCCGUGAGAGAAAUAUUGACAAACAAUUGGUCAAUUCUUUUACACGAUAAAGAACUCCAUGAUAGCAUCACUCCCUACCCCAGCCUAACCGCACGGAGACCGAAGAACUUAAGAUUUGCCCUGGUACAUAGCCAUUUGGAAUCUCCUAUCACUACCCCUGGAUGGCUGACACAGACGAAGGGGAUUUACAAACGCGGAUCAUGUAAGGCCUGCAAAUUCAUCAACUCAUCCAAAUUUAUCCUGUGCACUAAAACCAAUAGACAAUAUCCGGUCCGUGAUUUUAUAAACUGUAGCACCACCAGAAUUGUCUACGUUGUUACAUGUAGUUGUAAUAUACAGUACAUAGGAAAAAUGUACCAACAAUUCCGGAGACGUAUUUUGCAACAUGUUAACUCGGUUACCAACAGCAAUAUUACUACACCAGUAUCCAACCAUGUCCGCUCCCAACAUCAAGGGGACCCUUCCAAUCUACAUUUUCAAGCUAUUGAACGACUCGCCACAAAUGCAAGAAAGGGAGAAUUCAAUUUAAGACUACUUAAAAGAAAGUCCAAAUGGAUCCAUGAAUUUAGAACCCACACACCCUCAGGUCUUAACAAGGAGUUAAAUUUACCCCUUUCAUACACUAACAGAAUCUGAUUUACAUUCAUCCUAAUCCCAAUUAGGGGUAAGAGAUUUAGCCACUACCCUAGCCCCAUAUUAAUAACAUCAAUACAGAAUACAGCUUAAAUCAGUAAUGCCUGUCCAAUGACAUUGAGCACACCAUUACUCUGUAAAAUAACAAUGUAAAUAGUCUCUUUGGGAAUUAAGUUUCACAUAUUUAUUUAUUUUCAUGACCAUAAAACUGUAUAUACUAUGCAAUUGAUUAUUGUGUACAGCACUCUUACCAGUAUAUUAUUUUAAUUUCAUACUUCACUUUAUGCAUUUAUUUUAUUUAUCCAUGUAAAUACUAUCCAGCUUUUUCAUUCUCUUCUGUGUAUUUAUAUUUGGAUAAUGCUAGAUAUUUGUAAAUACAGUGUCUUUGGUCCCCAAAGGCAAAGGUUGGAUUUUAAGAAUUGCUAAACAGCACAGAAAGGGUUAAGUAUUAAGUAUUCUCUACUUCCGACCUCUGAAAUCUCAUCACCCAUUGGCCCAUGAAUUUUUAAAUGGACCAAUGAGAUUCAACUUUACCUCCUACUUAAACCGGACCUAAACAGAAGCACAGUUCCCCUCUGAAGAGCCAGAGUGGCGAAACGCACGUCAGGGGUUCUUACCUGGCGUUAUCCUUUAUUCACUGAACCAUCAGUGCAUGUCUCCGUACCCCGGUUGUAAUAGGAAUAGGGCUACGAUUACGGCAGAACUGGCUCAUUGCACUGAUCAUGAGCCAGCACGACAAUGACUUUAGUUGUUUCACAGUUUACCUUACUAACAGGGUGGGAGGCGAUACCAGACGUCGGUACCAAGUAUCAGGAGGGGAUUAGGCUUUAUAUUAAGGGGCGCCCUCGAAGGCACGAGAGGCUAGGGCUGUAAGUGACAGGCAAACAGCUCCCCUGCCUUACUUGAUCUAUACUCUGACUGUAUCCCUCUCUCUCCCCCUUUACCAUAGAUCGGACCGAGUGUCUGUUUAAUCACUGGCCACUUAGGUAUCAUCACUGAUAAAGGGAUUACAGUUAUAGGCAGGACUGUAUUCCUCUACCAAAGCUUGUCAGUGAUAAUUUAUCCUGCCAGUUAUUUACCCUCCCGAUAAACUGACUCUGUCAUUCAGCUGCAGUAACGCUAUUCAGAUUUUAGGAAUUUUCUCCUUACUUUCUUACAAACAGACAAAUAGAUCGCAG